rnacentral:snoRNA from 1 species
UUGUCAGUAGGUGUAAUCCUUACCUGUGGCUUUCGAGCCAUAGUAAUGGAUAGCGAUAUGAUGAGGGGGUCUCAUGAAUCCAUGAUUAAACGACCCAAGCCGUUAGGCGUGACACCCUAAGUGGCUACCUCUGAU